AUGGCGGAGGAGGGAACUGUUUGUAGCUUCGUUUUCAAGAAGCGGGGCCUGGCGGCGGGCAGGGGCCGGCGCAAGCGGCCUAGCAGCGACCAGGAGCGGGAGAGCAGCGGUGAGGAGGGCAGUACGGUAGUGCGGAAGGAGCGGCGGCGGGAGACCCCCAACCCCAUGAUCCAGAAGACCAGGAGAUGCACGAAGGAGAGGCCUGCCUACGCGCUGAGCAGCAGUGACGAUGAGGAUCCAUCAAAGGAGAUCGGAGUCACUUACAAAUCGACAAGGUCGGCGAAACCUGUUGGCCCAGAAGACAUGGGAGCCACAGCAGUGUAUGAACUGGACACGGAGAAGGAGAAAGAUGCCCAGGCCAUCUUCGAGCGCAGCCAGAAAAUCCAGGAGGAGCUGAGAGGAAAGGAAGAUGAUAAAAUUUACCGUGGUAUUAACAACUACCAGAAAUAUGUGAAGCCCAAGGACACAUCGAUGGGAAAUGCCUCUUCAGGAAUGGUCAGAAAAGGACCCAUCCGUGCUCCGGAGCACUUGCGGGCCACGGUGCGAUGGGACUACCAGCCCGACAUCUGCAAGGACUACAAAGAAACUGGGUUCUGCGGCUUUGGAGACAGCUGCAAAUUCCUCCACGACCGCUCGGACUACAAACACGGCUGGCAGAUCGAACGGGAACUGGAUGAAGGCCGGUACGGAGUCAAUGAUGAGGAAAACUAUGAGGUGAGCAGCGAUGAGGAGGAUAUGCCUUUCAAGUGCUUCAUCUGCAGAAGUUCCUUCAAGAACCCCGUGGUCACCAAGUGUAGGCACUACUUCUGUGAGAGUUGUGCCCUCCAACACUAUCGCAAAUCCCAGCGCUGCUACGUCUGUGACAAGCAAACCAAUGGAGUCUUCAACCCAGCAAAAGAGCUCAUGGCAAAAUUGGAAAAACACAAAGGGGAGGAAGAGGAGGAGGAAGAGCAGCAGCAUUCAGACCAUGGAGAGGAUCCGCAAUAGCAAAGCACCCUGUUUUGUAUCUAGCUGAAUAAAGCUUUCAUGGGAGAAAAAAAAAGCUCACAGCAGUUGCCUUGGGGCCAGCAGCUGUAGCCAGUGCUUGUGUAUCCAACCAGCAGCGACUAAAACGGUGUCCUGACUGUGCCGGACUCCUUGUUUGCUGCUCUGUGAAGGCAUAAGACAGAACAGCAAUUUCACACAGUCCUGUCAACAGCAAGAUUGCCAGGAGAGACACACAGGCAGAUGGAAACCUCUGAAGCAGAAAGGCACCACCAAGGAAAUGAAAGCAGGAGGCUCUGAUAAGCAGCGUUAUGGAGCAAUGACAGCUGGUGAAACACUGAGCAAUAUGUAAGUGGUUUGCUUUAAUAAAGUCCACUCCAGAUAUAGCAUAAGCCAA